AGGAUGAACGCUGGCGGCGUGCUUAACACAUGCAAGUCGAACGGAGUAUCAAGAAUGAAGUUUCGGAUGGAAUUUUGAGUACUUAGUGGCGGACGGGUGAGUAACGCGUGGGUAACCUGCCUCACGACAGGGGGAUAACAGUUGGAAACGACUGUUAAUACCGCAUAAGACCACAGUACCGCAUGGGUACAGGGGGUAAAAACUCCGGUGGUAGUGAGGAUGGAACCCGCGUCUGAUUAGUUAGUUGGCGGGGUAACGGCCCACCAAGACGACGAUCAGUAGCCGAUCUGAGAGGAUGACCGGCCACAUUGGGACUGAGACACGGCCCAAACUCCUACGGGAGGCAGCAGUGGGGAAUAUUGCACAAUGGGGGAAACCCUGAUGCAGCCGACGCCGCGUGAGUGAAGAAGUAUUUCGGUAUGGUAAAGCUCUAUCAGCAGGGAAGAAAAUGACGGUACCUGAGUAAGAAGCCCCGGCUAACUACGUGCCAGCAGCUGC
rnacentral:rRNA from 1 species